UGCGACGGAGUGAACGAGUUUUACGUUUUAGUAACAGUUCUUCUUCUCCGAUCGAACAGCAUAGAAACUCAGCCGACUCUCAUCAAUCAAUACCGUUCUUUACUUCCAUCAAUCAUUUUAUUCUUAAUGAUUUCGUUUCGCCUCCCUCUUUUCCUCCUCUUUUAUAUACCCAUAUUCUUUUCUUUCAACAAACUACAUCCGGCUUUUCUGAUAUCAGUAAAUAUAUCCAUUCGGCUUCACAUUUUGUUAAUCUAUUGCAACCUUCCCUGGUAGUCAUUUUCUCCAACCAUGUUGUUGGUGAUUUCAAUUUAAGCUCAGCUUGGUCGUGUCGAGGAAGAGACUAAAGGCAUCGUCUUGAUCCGUGAGAAGCUUUGGCUGAUCACGAGUGAAAAGAAGUUGCUUUUGUCAGGAAGAAGAUUGAUCCUGUCAACAAAGAAUUCUCAACAAGCCAAUCUGUAAAGCUACCACCAGCAGCAGAGAAUCCUCAAGCUGAUCUAGAAAAGGUGAAACGGGUAUCACAGUUUAACAAUCAAGGUUUGUGUCUACUCUAUUAAUUUUCAUUAUUUGUUCUGCUCAAAAUAAUUUCAUUCGAUUCCUUAUGAUGUUAGCUUGAUUGUUUAAAAAAAACUGCAAGGUCAUAUCAUUGUUUUCCAUCCACAUAAUCUCCUUUUUUUUACAUAAUCUCCUUUCUAUUUAAGCAAGAAGUCAGACAUGGAAAUAAGAUCAAAAGGAAUGUUAGUUUAGAAGCGUAACCAGUGUUCCGUUCCUGUCGGAGCGCCGCCACCGAGGACCAUAGUCAGAAUCAAGUAUAGUUCUGUCUACCAUGAGAUCAAUAUCAGUCCUCAAGCUUCAUUUGGCAGGGGAAUAACUUAAAGAAUUGUAAUAUAUAUGAUUUAAGUUUAACUGAAAGCUUUUUGGUAACCCACUACUUCAUCUUUAUUGCUUCUUAUCUUCCUUUUCAAGGACGCUGACGGAGUAUAUAAUUAGACAGUCUGAGAGUCUUCACAUGCAUUCAUAUGGUACUUCAAUCAUAGAACCCUAGAUAUCUCUCAGCACUCUCCAAGAAGUGAUUCAUUUCUCUGAGCUAAAGGUUUUUGUAUCAUGAUUUUGAAGUACAAUGGUGGAAAGCUGAGAGAUGAGACCAAGCUUAAAAGUGCUGUCCAGAUGCAAGACCUAUUAGAUGCGCAAGAAUGUUAGGUCCCAAAACAAGGGCUGGGACCGUGUUCUGAUAGUGUCCAUGUUAGUAUGCCUGUCAACAGCACUGGACUCGGUGCUGACAUUGAACCUCCUGUAACCAGUACCGGUCUCCCUGGUGUGGCCAUGGAUGAAGGCAUCCGAUGCAAUCACAGUUGAGGGAGGUAGCCCCUCUGAAAAGAAGCCACUUAAUGUCAAAAACUUCCAUGUUAGUAUGCCUGUCAACAGCACUGGACUCGGUGCUGACAUUGAACCUCCUGUAACCAGUACCGGUCUCCCUGGUGUGGCCAUGGAUGAAGGCAUCCGAUGCAAUCACAGUUGAGGGAGGUAGCCCCUCUGCAAAGAAGCCACUUAAUGUCAAAAACUCAACCAACAGACAUCAUUACGCAUAAGUGGAAAUAAACGGAAGGAGGCAUGGCGAGCCAGCUACCACUGCAAUUCAACUAGAGUUAUUAUGACAAAAAAUCAUUCAAAUUGCAAACCAGCAUUUAAAAAAAGACUAUGCUCUUUUAGAAAAAGCGGGGAUUCUUAAUUUAGAGAGUCCUCAUUGGUUUAUAUGAUUUAAAUAUCAAGUUCGGUGAUGGUUUUGUUGGUUUAUAUGAUUUAAAUAUCAAGUUUGGUAAUGGUUUGUUUAGAAAGUUUGUUCUUUCUUUUUGGAUUGGUUUGGACAAUGGUAUUAUUUUUUUACGUUUGGAUCAAUUUUUUAUUUAAUUUUAUUUCUAU